UGCCAGCCGCCGCGGUAACACGGGGGGCGCAAGCGUUAUUCGGAAUUAUUGGGCGUAAAGGGCGCGCAGGCGGUCUUGUCAGUCAGGUGUGAAAGCCCGGGGCUCAACCCCGGACGUGCAUUUGAAACAGCAAGACUUGAGUACGGGAGAGGAGAGAGGAAUUCCUGGUGUAGAGGUGAAAUUCGUAGAUAUCAGGAGGAACACCGAUGGCGAAGGCGACUUCCUGGGCCAAUACUGACGCUGAGGUGCGAAAGCGUGGGGAGCAAACAGGAUUAGAUA
rnacentral:rRNA from 1 species